rnacentral:lncRNA from 1 species
GAACGUUUUGAACAGUAAACAAGGGUUAUUUGGGUAUCUCAUACGCAUCUUCAUCCUCACUCCCCUGACCCCUUAACCCUGCCCUACACCCACCCUUGAAAGACAGAUGCCGUCAGUGGUUGCCGGCGGCGACAGAUGCCGUCAGGUGGUUACUGGCGGCCACACAUGUCUCCGCCCUAGGUAUAGAAAGAGGGAGCCGACCAUAGAAAAGGGAACUCCGGGGAAGUUCCGCCGACUGUGUUGGUGAGGCGGUGACCGGAGGGUCAUCACCGUCACACCACCACCACGGUCACCAUGUGUCACCCCAUUACAAUGUCAAAAGUAAGAGAGAGAGGGGGAGCGCUUUGGAUAGGAGAGGGGGAAAGACCUAGAGAGUGUACCGGAACAAUGCCGCCGUAGCAGACCGACAAAGAGGCCGAUGGUUGGGUUUAGCAGAUGAACGAUAGUGGUGGUGCAAGACUAGGUCAGCGACGGCUUAGGGUUUCAGUGUACAGUCGACAAACAAGCAACGGUGAGACGCAUCUCUCGUCCUCUUGCAGAACGGGCCAGAUCUGAUGAGGUACAGGUGACCGGUGAAAUGUGUCGGCUAGGGUUUCUAAGAUUCCGUGGCUGACGGAGGAUAGCAGCAGGAAGGCUGAAAUUGAUUUGCAUGAAUCGAAUGCUUCGUACGAAGGCCGAAAACAGGCCUACAAAUACUUCUAGCAGGGCGUUAGAGGUUGUGGAUUGGGCUCCAAAAAAGUUGACCUAUUUGCAGCUGAUUAGAAACCAAAUUCUUUCUCUAUAAGUUGUAACAAGGAAAGCUGGAAGAGUUCACAGUGCUGAGAUCGAGGGUGACAAUUGCCUUAUGCAAGCAAAGCUGCAAGACACCAGCUUCGCAGCACUAGAAGACCCUUGCCAAACUAGGGAUGAGGUGUACUGAAUGGGUUCGGUACGGUUUGGUACCGAUACUGAUACUGGUACGAUACUGGUUUGGCACCGGGUACCAUUCGCUCAUCCCUAUGCCAAACUACUCACGCACAGGAAAGGACGAUUCAACUCAUACGGUCAUACCAAAGGUUUCGUAAAGAAAUCGAACAACCUUCGAAACAUUGCAUACUCACAUUUUGUCUCUGAACAUUUUAAUACUUUAGCUCAUUCAUAUCUUCCAUUUCAAUAUGACACUUCUAUUGUUGUUAAACAUUUUGUCACAAUCUCUAAAGUUGUAAAUUAAUGUAUUUGUAUCAAUUUGAUCUAGCGGGUUGCAUUCACCUGUUAACAUUUGUACA